AUACGUAGGUGACAAGCGUUAUCCGGAUUUACUGGGUGUAAAGGGCGUGUAGGCGGUUUAGCAAGUCAGAAGUGAAAUUCCCGGGCUUAACUUGGGCGCUGCUUCUGAAACUGCUUUACUUGAGUGCUGGAGAGGAUAGUGGAAUUCCUAGUGUAGCGGUAAAAUGCGCAGAUAUUAGGAGGAACACCGGUGGCGAAGGCGGCUAUCUGGGCAGUAACUGACGCUGAGGCGCGAAAGCACGGGGAGCAAACAGGAUUAGAUACCCUGGUAGUCCACACUGUAAACGAUGAAUGCUAGGUGUAGGUGGUAUCGACCCCUUCUGUGCCGCAGGCAACACAAUAAGCAUUCCGCCUGGGGAGUACGGCCGCAAGGUUGAAACUCAAAUGAAUUGACGGGG
rnacentral:rRNA from 1 species